rnacentral:lncRNA from 1 species
UCCUCCAACCAAUGUAAGCAGCUUACUACUACUAUGGUCAAUUAUGAGAAUUAAAAUUAAGAUUCUUGAUUACGAGUUUAUUGUUUAAGUAUUAUAAUCCUAUAGCAAUAAGAAACGAUGGUUAUUGGUAUGGUUUUAUAUCUCGAUUGGACAAGUGGCAUCCCGACCGUCCUGUUUCGUUCCUAUGAGAAAAUAGAAUUGAGAUGAGAUCUGGACUUUAAAAUCUAUCC